rnacentral:rRNA from 1 species
CCCCGCCGAAAGAUCAAGGUUUCCUGUCCAACGUUAAUCGGGACAGGGUGAGUCGGCACCUAAGGCGAGGGCGAAGGCCGUAGUCGAUGGAAAAUCGGUUAAAAUUCCGAUACCGAUUCUUACUGCGAUGGAGGGACGGAGCAGGCUAGGCUAGCACGGCGUUGGUAGUCCGUGUUUAAGCGUGUAGGUAGGGGGAUUAGGUAAAUCCGGUUCCCUGUUGAUCUGAGACGUGAUGACGAUCUCUUGGGGCGACCCUUGAGAGAAGUAGUUGAUGCCAUACUUCCAGGAAAAUCUUCUAAGCUUCAGGUAAGAAUUGACCGUACUGUAAACCGACACAGGUGAUCAGGUAGAGAAUACCAAGGCGCUUGAGAGAACUUGGGUGAAGGAACUAGGCAAAAUGGUACCGUAACUUCGGGAGAAGGUACGCUCUCUUUGGUGAUCGGACUUGCUCCGUAAGCUGAGGAGAGUCGAAGUGACCAGGUGGCUGCAACUGUUUAUUAAAAACAUAGCACUCUGCAAACUCGUAAGAGGAAGUAUAGGGUGUGACGCCUGCCCGGUGCCGGAAGGUUAAUUGAUGGGGUUAGCUUCGGCGAAGCUCUUGAUCGAAGCCCCGGUAAACGGCGGCCGUAACUAUAACGGUCCUAAGGUAGCGAAAUUCCUUGUCGGGUAAGUUCCGACCUGCACGAAUGGCGUAAUGAUGGCCACGCUGUCUCCACCCAAGACUCAGUGAAAUUGAAAUCGCUGUUAAGAUGCAGUGUACCCGCGGCUAGACGGAAAGACCCCGUGAACCUUUACUAUAGCUUCACACUGGACUUUGACCUUACUUGUGUAGGAUAGGUGGGAGACUUUGAAGCGUGAUCGCUAGAUUGCGUGGAGUCAUCCUUGAAAUACCACCCUGGUAAUGUUGAGGUUCUAACUUGGCUCCUGAAACGGGAGUGAGGACAGUGUGUGGUGGGUAGUUUGACUGGGGCGGUCUCCUCCUAAAGAGUAACGGAGGAGCACGAAGGUACCCUAAGAGCGGUCGGAAAUCGCUCGUUUAGUGUAAUGGCAUAAGGGUGCUUGACUGCGAGAGUGACAACUCGAGCAGGUGCGAAAGCAGGUCAUAGUGAUCCGGUGGUUCUGAAUGGAAGGGCCAUCGCUCAACGGAUAAAA